GGGGCGGUAGCUCAGCUGGUUAGAGCAGCGGACUCAUAAUCCGUCGGUCACGGGUUCAAGUCCCGUCCGCCCUACAA
rnacentral:tRNA from 3 species